UACGGAGGGUGCAAGCGUUAAUCGGAAUUACUGAGCGUAAAGCGCGCGUAGGUGGCUUGAUAAGCCGGUUCUUAAAGCCCUGGGCUCAACCUGGGAACGGCAUACGGAACUGUCAGGCUAGAGUGCAGGAGAGGAAGGUAGAAUUCCCGGUGUAGCGGUGAAAUGCGUAGAGAUCGGGAGGAAUACCAGUGGCGAAGGCGGCCUUCUGGACUGACACUGACACUGAGGUGCGAAAGCGUGGGUAGCAAACAGG
rnacentral:misc_RNA from 1 species